rnacentral:rRNA from 1 species
UCUUCCGCAAUGGACGAAAGUCUGACGGAGCAACGCCGCGUGAGUGAUGAAGGUUCUCGGAUCGUAAAACCCUGUUGUUAGGGAAGAACAAGUACCGUUCGAAUAUGGCGGUACCUUGACGGUACCUAACCAGAAAGCCACGGCUAACUACGUCCCAGCAGCCGCGGUAAUCCGUAGGUGGCAAGCGUUGUCCGGAAUUAUUGGGCGUAAAGCGCGCGCAGGCGGUUUCGUAAGGCUGAUGUGAAAGCCCCCGGCUCAACCAGGGAGGGUCAUUGGAAACUGGGGAACUUGAGUGCAGAAGAGGAGAGUGGAAUUCCACGUGUAGCGGUGAAAUGCGUAGAGAUGUGGAGGAACACCAGUGGCGAAGGCGACUCUCUGGUCUGUAACUGACGCUGAGGCGCGAAAGCGUGGGGAGCGAACAG